UUCUAGUGGGGAGUGAAAACCCUGACCUAAUACGUCAGGAAUUGACUUAACCCAAAGAAAAAGCACCGGCUAACUCUGUGCCAGCAGCCGCGGUAAUACAGACGGUGCAAGCGUUAAUCGGAAUUACUGGGCGUAAACGCGUGCGUAGACGGUUAUUUAAGUCGGAUGUGAAAUCCCCGGGCUCAACCUGUGAAUUGCAUUCGAUACUGAACAGCUAGGGUGCGGAAGAGGGAAGCGGAAUUUCCGGUGUAGCGGUGAAAUGCGUAGAUAUCGGAAGGAACAUCAGUUGGCGAAAGCGGCUUCCUGGUCCAGCACCGACGUUCAGCGCACGAAAGCGUGCGGAGCAAACAGGAUUAGAUACCCUGCUAGUCCACGCCAUAAACCGAUGAGUGACCUACACGUUGGAAGGGCUCAGCCUUCCAGUGUCGCAGCUAACGCG
rnacentral:rRNA from 1 species